CCUCAGGCCUGGCGUCCAGAACUUAAGAGUUGGCUCCGGGCGGCAACGGGGAUGCAGAAGCGAGCGAGCCUGCGAGAGCACCGAGGCUAGCCUCCGAGGCGAACCCCAGAAACGCCAGGACGGGUGCAGUGGCUCAUGCCUGCAAUCCCAGCACUUUGGGAGGCCGAGGCAGGCGGAUCACAAGGUCAGGAGUUUGAUACAAGACUAGCCUGCCCAACAUGGUGAAACCCCGUCUCUACUGAAAAUACAAAAACAGCCUGGCGUGGUGGUGUGCACCUGUAAUCCCAGCUACUGAGGAGGCUGAGGCAGGAGAACUGCUUGAACCCGGGAGGCAAAGGUUGCAGUGAACAGAGAUCGGGCCACUGUUAUCCAGCCUGGGUGACAGAGUGAGACUCCGUCUCAAAAAAUAAAUAAAUAAAAUAAGUAUUUCCUUUUAA